rnacentral:rRNA from 1 species
CGCGUAGGCGGCCUCCGCAAGUCGACUGUGAAAUCUCUGGGCUUAACCCAAAACGGUCAGCCGAUACUGCGGGGCUAGAGUGCAGAAGGGGCAACUGGAAUUCUCGGUGUAGCGGUGAAAUGCGUAGAUAUCGAGAGGAACACCUGCGGCGAAGGCGGGUUGCUGGGCUGACACUGACGCUGAGGCGCGAAAGCUAGGGGAGCGAACG